AUUGAACGCUGGCGGCAGGCCUAACACAUGCGAGUCGAGCGGAUGAAGGGAGCUUGCUCCUGGAUUCAGCGGCGGACGGGUGAGUAAUGCCUAGGAAUCUGCCUGGUAGUGGGGGAUAACGUCCGGAAACGGGCGCUAAUACCGCAUACGUCCUGAGGGAGAAAGUGGGGGAUCUUCGGACCUCACGCUAUCGGAUGAGCCUAGGUCGGAUUAGCUAGUUGGUGGGGUAAAGGCCUACCAAGGCGACGAUCCGUAACUGGUCUGAGAGGAUGAUCAGUCACACUGGAACUGAGACACGGUCCAGACUCCUACGGGAGGCAGCAGUGGGGAAUAUUGGACAAUGGGCGAAAGCCUGAUCCAGCCAUGCCGCGUGUGUGAAGAAGGUCUUCGGAUUGUAAAGCACUUUAAGUUGGGAGGAAGGGCAGUAAGUUAAUACCUUGCUGUUUUGACGUUACCAACAGAAUAAGCACCGGCUAACUUCGUG
rnacentral:rRNA from 1 species